rnacentral:rRNA from 1 species
GUGGAUUAGAUACCCUGGUAGUCCACGCUGUAAACGAUGGGCACUAGGUGUUGGAGGUAUUGACCCCUUCAGUGCCGUAGCUAACGCAUUAAGUGCCCCGCCUGGGGAGUACGCUCGCAAGGGUGAAACUCAAAGGAAUUGACGGGGGCCCGCACAAGCGGUGGAGCAUGUGGCUCAAUUCGAUGCAACGCGAAGAACCUUACCCGGGUUUGACAUGUGCCUGUAAAGCGUAGAGAUACGCUCCCUCGCAAGAGCAGGUACACAGGUGCUGCAUGGCUGUCGUCAACG